ensembl:lncRNA
UGAGGACUGGCAUUUGGGAGGAACGGGAGCAAGAGAGAAGGAAGCGCUCGGGUCUGCGAGCGACUAGAGGCUCACGGAGGGCCCAAGAGACUGUCUAUCAUGGAUAUUUAACUGCAGUUCUGUGAGUAUCCCAACGUAACCAUGAAGAUGAACUGCAAACUCAACAAACGGAUCUCCUCAAGGUAAGUCUGUUGGCUGUGUUUUAAUGAAGACCAUCGCUGGACUUCAGGAUCUUCCUCCGUUCAGCUCAAGGUGAGGCGCUGGUUCUGUUUUUCUUUGGUUGGUUCCGGGCCGGAAUGUUCGGAUUCCAGUCGGACGGUUUGUGCUUCCCGCCGUGGAAGUUUCUGAGUGCGGUCAUUUGAUUUAGACCCAAUGGUUAGCAUAGAACGUUGUAGUCUUGAAAACCAUAAGAAACCACCUGGCAGUUAGUUGGACGGGAGUCCCCUGAGGGGAAUCAGGCGGAACGUUCUGGAUUGUGUUUGCGUAACCUCGAGCCGUUGCCAACAGAAAAUAUUUUUCAGUCGGUUUCCAUUGGGAAUGGUUGCCGCUAUCUUAAACAACUUUAGUUUGAUAUUAAAUGCAAAC